rnacentral:rRNA from 1 species
GACGAACGCUGGCGGCGUGCUUAACACAUGCAAGUCGAACGAGAAUCUGCGGAAAGAGGAUUCGUCCAAUUGAAGCAGAGGACAGUGGCGGACGGGUGAGUAACGCGUGAGGAACCUGCCUUUCAGAGGGGGACAACAGUUGGAAACGACUGCUAAUACCGCAUGACACAUCGGAGUCGCAUGGCUCUGAUGUCAAAGAUUUAUCGCUGAAAGAUGGCCUCGCGUCUGAUUAGCUAGUUGGUGAGGUAACGGCCCACCAAGGCAACGAUCGGUAGCCGGACUGAGAGGUUGAACGGCCACAUUGGGACUGAGACACGGCCCAGACUCCUACGGGAGGCAGCAGUGGGGAAUAUUGCACAAUGGGGGAAACCCUGAUGCAGCGACGCCGCGUGGAGGAAGAAGGUUUUCGGAUUGUAAACUCCUGUUGUUGAGGAAGAUAAUGACGGUACUCAACAAGGAAGUGACGGCUAACUACGUGCCAGCAG